UGCAUACAUUUGCCCUUCCAAAACCCUGCACCUCACCCUGGCAUUUACGUCGAUGAUGGCAAGGACUUACCCGGAUCCUCAAUUUUACCCUGUAAGAAUUCGGUUAAUCCUACCCUAGAGUAAGUUUCAAUUUUACCCUUCUAACAAUUCUCCCACUUCCCAUCUACGCCCCUUGAACUCCCACUUCAUCGGCAACACCUCGGCCACUCCCUAGUCCCUCCACCACUCUGUUCCCUCCUAACAUCCCCGUCCCACCUCCCUCUUUUUCUUCCUCAACUCCAUGUGCAGCCCUAUCUCACCCCAGAAUGCUCCCUGCAAACCCGCCCCACCCAUCGUAAUCCCCUCCUAUUUCUAUAGCCAUCCUCGCCUCACCCAAAACUCAAUCCCGGAAAACCCAUGAAAAAACGGACGAGUUACCCAACUACCUUGCUGAUGCUCGAUUGUAGCUAUGACCGAAUCAGAUCGAUUCAUCAAUGAAGGAGAGAGGGAAUCGAUUGUUCUUCAGGUAGUGAGCUUAGUCUGUUAUUCAAGUUUUUCAACUAAUUUUCUUUCUCGAUUCCUCUGUUUUUCCAUUGAAACCCUCUGUGCGACCACCAUUGCCACUGAAAGGAGCUUUAUAUGAAACCCACCCUUCGCCACUUGAUUUAAAAGGGGUGGAGCAAAGAUAAUGACAGGGAAGGGAGGGCUAGGUGGACUACGGGGAGUGGUGAGGGAUAGUGGGAGACGAGGUGUAAUGGUGGGGAUGGUGGAAAUGGAGGUCGAGGAGGAGGGUGAGGAGGGGUGGUUACUACUUUGGAUCCAAAGAAUCCAUUCCAAACAAAGAUGAAACCUUAGCGGAGGUCGUGUACGAAACUAACUACGCAGCGAACAGUUUGACGACUUGUGUCGAAGCAGUUAUACUGGUCAGGUCUCUGUUUCUUUUUAAUUGCACUGUUUGUUCUUUCGUUCCUUUUAUCUUUUAGUUAUUUGAUGCUGCGACAUGAUUGUAACUUGUGGUGCGUGGGGUGUGCGUGUGGAAAUGGCUACUGAUUGUCCUUCUACAAUGCAUUAUUAAUUUGAGAGAUUUCUGGAGACAAUAAAUUUGAUGUGAAAUGGCGUUUGUUUUAACAGCAAGGCCAACACCAUCAACUGUUUGAGGUUCCUACAGUGGCCCCUUAUUAUCAUCAGUAUCUCCCAUCAUGGUGGUCUCCCUAUCUGGUUUCACAAGUGCCUGCCACUACAACACCUUCCUGCUCAGGCUCUACCUUUGGGGGUACCAAGUCUGCGUAUGGGGGUUGGACAGUGGUGGGGAGCGACAAAUUGGGCGGGGGAUAGGGUAAGGCCUCAUAGAAUGGUCUAAAGAGAGAAAUUGACGAAGGGGGAGUGGAUAAACGGCUGGAUGGGGUUAAAAUUGGUUGUAGAUGUAGUGGCAUGGCUGGGAGGGCAAGGUGUAGGUGAAACUAGGGUAGGGAGGGAAAGGAUUAAAGUAUCGGAAUCCGUCGCCGUAUCGGUCGGCCAAAAUUAAGAUACAUAUCGGAGGGUAUCGUAUCGUAUCGGAGAUACGUAAAAAAUACGCACAUAAAUGGGUAGGAAACACUUUCUUAUACACUUUUGCAUAAAAAAAAAAAAAGUUAAAAAAAGCUAUAUAUAACAUGUAUUAUGCAUCAACACUAAAUUGAGAAUCCUAAUGUAGACUAGAAUAGAUAAACUACCAAGCCUUCAGCUGCAGGAUUUUUUAAUCAGAAGAGCAACCAAGGAUUGCCUAACAAUAGCACAAUUGAUCAGAAUAGAAGAAGGACCAGAUUGGAUAAACCAGUAAGCUAUCAAUGUCAGUGGGUAGGUAUUCUCAGAUCAGAUCAGAUCAGUAGGUGACCAAAUAGAGACUAUCCAGAAUUGGAAUAAGCUUCACAUAACCCAUUAGAAUGUAAUAAAUCACAGGAGAUUGCUGAAGUCAGAAAAGGUAAAAAAACUCCUAUCGAUUUCAGAUAUAAACUCCUAUCGAUUUCACAUAAUUUAUGCAUGUUCCUCAUGACAUUGCAAACACAUAAUGCUUGUGUUAUCGCCCCUUUUACAACAUAAUUUCCAUAUGUUUAACUUCUUGUGAAUUUUUCCCCCUUUUUGGCAGGUUUUUUAUUUGUUGAAGGACAUUGACCUGGAGUUGAUGAAACAAGGACUCUACUGGACUUGUUUACAAGGCUCAAGCUGGUUUAGUGUGUUUGGUUGAGACUUGUAAAGGAAAAACGAUUUUGGUUGUGCUUGGAUAAUGUCACAUUGUCACCGGUAAAACCAUAAUGGAGAAAGCGGUGAUUGUGAUUAGGUAUUUCAGCUUAUACAUUAUGUUAAGUCAGUCAGGAUGAGACAACUAGAAUGUAAAGUGAAUGCCUCGUUCUUACUAAAACAAAUUGAAAUGCAGCAGGUUGGAAUGUCAUGUCCUGCUAUUCUCAAAGUACCUUCACCCCUCUCUCGUAUUUGGAUUGAGAAGCAGUUAUUCAGCAUGCUCCUCCUUGAGGGCUUUGAUUUUGAUUUCCCAUCAAGUGGUGUCCAAAUCAGAGCAGGAGAACUUUUAUCUUCCUUGGAUGAAUCUGCGUGGUAAUGAGAUACAGAUGGCAAUAUUUUCUCUAGUCUUGUUAAAUUUUCAGAAGUGAAACUCUUGAUUUACUGUUCACUGCUUAGGAAGCUCUUUGUAAGUGGAUAUCAAUGAGAGGAUUUAGCAUGUCUUUGUCUGAUUUUUACUUUUGUUCUUAUUCCUACUCCCGGAGAAAAAAAUAUAUGAUUGAUAGAGACAAAGUGUGCUCUACAAGAAGCAGAGCAGAUCUGUCAAGUCGAACAAUCGAUGGUGGAUCCUGCCUUGGAGUACUUUCUCAAGCUUGGUGAAGAAACCAUUAUGCAAUGUUUCUCAACAUGGAGCACAAAUGUCACUUGAACCAGAAAUCUAUUUUCUUGAAUGCUGUUUUAGUUGGUACUUUUGGAGAAGUUUUCAUGACAUUCAAAACCUAAUCUAUCAGUAUUCCUGUUAAGGCAAUUCACUGUUGGACAUGGUAAAGGCUGGAAACAAGGGUAAUCUCUUGAAACUUGCUCAGCAAAGCGUAUGCCUUGGUUUGCAGCGUCCUUCAGUUCCAUUUCCUUUCAAAUUCCCCAACAGGAUUUCUUGUUAUAUGCGGAAUCAGCUUUCCCUUCGCACUUUUCUGAAGAGCUUGCUCUUAAUGCUACCUCUAGAUCAAGGUUUAGAUUUCAAAGAUCGCAUCAAUGGGUCCAUGCUGAUGGCAAUGCCGAAGGUGGGGGUUCCAUUUUCAUUUGUGGUUGUAUUUGCCUUGGGAUGCCCAGUCAUUAAUUACUUGCAUUACUUGUACCUAUUUUCAUUUUACUCCUUUUUAAUACAAUCUGAUCUUUUAGCAAAAAGGAAAAAGCUUAUGGAACUUCUGUAGAUAAUGAAUCUAAAGUUAACUUCUGUACAAGAUGAAUCUAAAGUUCCCUUUGCUAUGGUUAAAAA